rnacentral:rRNA from 1 species
UUUAUGGUUAAACCUGCCCAAUGUUAGAGAUAAUGAAUGGCCGCGGUACCCUGACCGUGCUAAGGUAGCGUAAUCAGUUGGCUUUUAAAUGGAGUCAGGAAUGAAUGGGAAAACCGGGUCUAGCUGUCUCCAAACUAUUUUUUUGAAUUUACUGUUUAAGUGAAAAAGCUUAAAGUUGAUAAAGGGACGAGAAGACCCUUAGAAUUUUUUUUAGAGUGUAAAUUUUUUCAUAAUAAUUUUGUUGGGGCGACAGAGAAAUAUUUAAAACUUUCUUUAAAUUACAAGCCGAUUUUGUUAAGUAAGAAUAAAUUACCUAAGGGAUAACAGCAUAAUUCUAUAAUUGAGUUUGUGACCUCGAUGUUGGACUAGGAAACUAACAGGCUAGCCGUUUGUUGUGUGGGUUCUGUUCGAACUUUAAUUCCUA